UGGGGGGUCGUUUAGUGGUAGGACAACGGACUCUGACUCCGUUAGCCCAGGUUCGAAUCCUGGUCCCCCAG
rnacentral:tRNA from 1 species